rnacentral:rRNA from 1 species
UACGGAGGGCGCGAGCGUUAUCCGGAUUUAUUGGGUUUAAAGGGUGCGUAGGCGGGAUGCCAAGUCAGCGGUAAAAAUGCGGUGCUCAACGCCGUCGAGCCGUUGAAACUGGCGUUCUUGAGUGGGCGAGAAGUAUGCGGAAUGCGUGGUGUAGCGGUGAAAUGCAUAGAUUUCACGCAGAACUCCGAUUGCGAAGGCGGCAUACCGGCGCCCUACUGACGCUGAGGCACGAAAGCGUGGGUAUCGAACAGG